UUCGAUCUUUCAUUUAUCAUCUAUACCAGUUUUGGUCUACAAGUCAAAAGGUUCUUGAGCAUACCACUUCACCAUAAAUAAAUCAAGUGACCCCGCUUACAAAUACCAAGCUCAUAUUCUUAGCAGGCAUCGAAAAAUAACCCUAUGUGUCUGCGGCAUGAAUUGUAAUCAAGAAGCAAAACACAAUUGCUCAACUUAAUCAAAUAAAUUGAUUGGUACUACCUUCAUGAGACAUUACUUGAGAAAUCGAAUAGAAGAGGGCAUCAUCAUUUCCUCGGUGAUCAAUGUUUCGGCUAAAGCAUGUGGGAGACAUCAACAUCAAACAAAUGGGGAAUGUAAUUCACUAGGGUAAUUUAAUUUGCAAGGAAUGAACUAGUGAUUUGUUGCUGGUGCCUCAAUACUAUUUUUUUCACAUAAACUCGCCCAAUAAUCAUAGGCAUGGAUAAGCCAACAAACCAAUUGACUUGCUAGAAAAUUCAACAAGCAAUAGAUCUGAAUCAAUUGUAAUCUGGAGAGAUGGAACCGAUUAACUGGAGAGAAGCCAGCAUAACUGCUAGGGAAAGGCUGGAAGAGUAGCAGAUCCGGAUUAGGCCCAGCGCCUUCUCCAGGGGCUGCUCCUGCUAGUGCAUCAGCAGUCCGGCACCCCUCGUAUCACCAUCUCCACCAUAAUUUCACAUUGCCAACAGGGUCAACAUUUUUUCAGUAAACUGCAGCCGAUGGCUUAAGUCAGAACAAAAGAGGUUGAAUGUAAAACCUCAAAUGGAAACUCACCGGCCACCAACGGAUCCAGACCUGGCUGCAGCCCCCUAAUUGCUGCGCGCAGCCGGCGCUUCCACACUCCGCGGCAGCAGCAUCAGAGGGACCGGAUCCGACUGCUCCAAGCUGUUCGCGAACUCCUCCCAGCGUGGGAAC
rnacentral:lncRNA from 1 species